ACACAGCGUGAUGUAUUUAAGUCAGACGCAAGGACGGACUGCCAGGCCAGAGCGAUCAGUAACAAAAAAAAGGCAAAAAACCAGGAAAUUUCUCGAGGACAUGAUGGCAAAGACCCACCAGCUUCCCCCUCCCUGUGGCACAGAC